rnacentral:rRNA from 1 species
ACGCUCGACACCUACGGGGGGCAGCAGUGGGGAAUAUUGCACAAUGGGGGAAACCCGUGAUGCAGCGACGCCGCGUGGAGGAAGAAGGUCUUCGGAUUGUAAACUCCUGUUGUUGGGGAAAAGAGGAUGGUACCCAACAAGGAAGUGACGGCUAACUACGUGCCGGCAGCCGCGGUAAUCUGAGCGGGCUGGCAAGGC